rnacentral:rRNA from 1 species
GUAGGGGGCAAGCGUUGUCCGGAAUCAUUGGGCGUAAAGCGCGCGUAGGCGGCCCGGUAAGUCCGCUGUAAAAGUCAAAGGCUCAACCUUUGAAUGUCAGUAGAUACUGCCGGGCUAGAGUCCGGAAGAGGCGAGUGGAAUUCCUGGUGUAGCGGUGGAAUGCGCAGAUAUCAGGAGGAACACCAACGGCGAAGGCAGCUCGCUGGGACGGUACCGACGCUGAGGCGCGAAAGCGUGGGGAGCGAACAGGAUUAGAUACCCUGGUAGUCCACGCCGUAAACGAUGGGCACUAGGUGUGGGAGGUGUCGACUCCUCCCGUGCCGGCGCUAACGCAUUAAGUGCCCCGCCUGGGGAGUACGGCCGCAAGGCUAAA